GUUGUUGUCUACAUCUUUAGUGUGAUGACCAGUCUUGGUUUCAGGAUGUGCAUUGCUCUGGAGAGGUAUUUUGUUAUCGUCUGCCCACAGUUACCCUGCAUCAGACAAAUAAAAGGUUCUGUGUGGG